rnacentral:misc_RNA from 1 species
CUAAAAAAACGCUACACUAAAAAACGCUACAUAGGCUAUAUUCGCUACAAGUUUAUUGCCUGUUUCUGUGUGUGUAUAAGUUUAUAAUUUAUAGAGAUAUAUAUUCGCUACUAUUCUAAAAUAAAAUAUAUAUAAAAUAUAUAUAAUUUAUUUUUGGAUUCGAUCAAACCGUAUGAAGUUUUACAAACUCAAAUGUACGCCAUCAGAAGACUUUUUAUCCCGCCAGCCCCAGAAACCCAGGGUGAACUAGAUAUUCAUUCCAAGUGGUUUUUGAUCAAUGAUCAAUCCAUAGUGAUCGGAGAUUACCUUCACUCUGAUGGAUUAAGAACCCUUGUGUGCUCCACUAACGAGUGUUUGCAGAUCCUCUCUAGAGCAGAAACAAUUCAUGGAGAUGGAACGUUCCGCAUCACGCCAUAUCUCUGGUAUCAAGUUUUCAUAAUUCAUGCCAGCGUAGGACCGAAUUCUAUUUGCUUUGCAACAACAAGGAUAAUAGUCCGAUUGUUAUAUCUGAUUUAUCUAAGUCUGGACAGCAAACCGGUGGACUAUUACAACUUCAAGAAGGAUGGAAAAAGGCUGAACAGAGAUGAUCAAAAACAGCUUGUUCGACUAGAUCCAGGUACACCUUAUAACUGUCAUAAAUCUGUUAGAUCUGCUGUAGUCAUCAACCUACUAGAACAACUUGAAACAGAGAGAAUAAUCUGGAUAAAUGAAGAUGAACCAAUUGAAGUUUGGUGAAUUCGGAGACGAGUACUGUCUACAAAUUUUUUCAAACUUAAUUGGACGUGAUAUUCUGUAUAUCCCUGUAUUUGAAAUCUCUGCCCAUAUCUGUAAACAGUAUUGUUUAAUUCGCUCUGAUAAUCGAGAUCCAUAUAGUGCUCCACUAACUCUUCUAUGGUUUGAAGAAACAUUUUUUCAAUCUGGACAUUAUCAGUCCAUUACUCCAACUGAUUCCAGCAUUAUAAUGAAGCAUUACAAUAGGAUGAAUAACUCUACAUAUCGAUUGUUUGAGUCUCAGGUUGCCAGGAUGACACUGAGAUCUGUCAACUCAGAUGUUGAGCAAAUUCAACAGCCUGAGAUUUCAUAUGCAAUAUGCAAUUAUGCAAGUAACUCCAACCUUGCUCCAGGAGAGAUUAGAUCAAAACAAACCAUCGACCCAGUGCAGAACAAAAAGAAAGUCCACAACAAUUUUAGAUAAUUCCAGCCCCAAAAGAACUAAACUGUCGGAUACAACAGAUAUCACUCAUCCAGACCAGACCAUCACCAGAAUUUGUCAUCUUUGUAAUUUGAAUUUUAAACGCAAGGGAGGCUCAAAGAGGUGCAUUUGUGGCCGUUAUGUACAUGUAAAAUGUCAUAAAAAUAGAAUUAAUUGCCCAUUCAAGAAUGAAUGACCGUAAUAAUAUGUGGUACACUUAUAAUUUUUCCAUUUAUGACUAUGAGAAUUUAAAAAUAUAUAUCUCUUAAAUUAUAAACUUAUGAUUUAUUUUCAAUUUACGACUAUGUGAAUUUUAAAAUCUUAUACACAAACAGAAACAGGCAAUAAACUUGUAGCGAAUAUAGCCUAUGUAGCGUUUUUUUAGUGUAGCGUUUUUUUAGGGUAGC